GAAACUACUAUGGGCACCACAUCUCAAACUGCCACUUGGCUCCACCAUUGCAGAAAGUAUUAUCACUGGCACCACUUGUGUGAUAAAAACAACUAUGACAGAUACCAAUUCCUUAGAAUGUACCACCACUUGUACACACAAUACCCUGUAGAAACUACUACCUUGGGAACCACUUCAGUUGAAACACCUACUCUGAGUACCACUUCUACGUAAACUAUUUACUACCCGAUUCCUUAAUGUACUAACACUUGUACACACUAGUAACCUUGCCACCCCUUUGCAGAUAGUCCUAUACUUGUCAUCACUGUAGAAACAUCAGAAUUAAUUCAAAUGUAAUAGUAUUAUAAGCAUCCACACAUGUAACGACAACUUCUGGAAAAAUCUUUGCUACAUCUAUGUCUGGCAUGUUGUCUGCUUUUGAAUCCAUAGUGGCUGAAAAAUAACACUUCUGCAGAAAGUACUACCCUUGGCACACUUUUUGUGGAAAGUACCAUUCUGGCCACCACUUCGGGGGAAAGAACUACCUUUGACUCCACUUCUCUAGAAACUACUACCCUAGGCACCACCUUGACUGAAACACUGUUGUUCUGAAACUCUGCAAAAUUCUGCAAUAAACAAGUUAUGCUCAGAGUCCAGAGCCUUGAUCAAAACAGUAUAACAAUCACCUUCUGAGAAGAGACCUGCACGAUCGCAGGACCCAACGCAACAGAGUGCGGCACGGGACAACACUUGAUGGGCAGGUGAAUAAUCUUCGUUGCGGUUUACUUUGUGGCAACAAUGGAGGUUGCAGAUUCAAAGAUAUAUGGUGUAUGAAUGACCUGUAUGACUAUUUUAGUUGUAUCUGUGGAACAAGCAUACCAUUUAU